CUCAAGCGCUCUUUGAAAAAGUUAUCAAACAGUCUUUCAGUUCGCUAACGCAACAAACCAAAACGCAAAAAUGUUCAACCUUCACAAAGUGCUCAUCGUGUUCGCCGCCUUGGUGUGCAUCGCUGCUGCCUACCCAAGCAUCAUAGGACCAGCCAUCGUCCCCGGUCUUGCCUCAACUGUUGUGGUGGGACCAGUCGGACCUGUCGGACCAAUCGUAGGUUUGGGUCAUGGUCUGGGUCAUGGUGGCGUUAUUGGACACCCUUGGUAAAAUAACUACUUCUGAGCAAAAUUAAUUGUACUGCCAACAUUCCCAACUGGAAAACCUCUUUGCACUCCUGCUCAUCGUUAGUUUUUCUCACUCUACAUCUCUUAUGGAACCACGAAUGUUAGGAAUUUCGCAACUUUAGUAUAUCUUUGUGUCUCGUUCGUUGUAUUGUUGCGUACUCCUUUAUUAACUGUCUAUAAUUUUUUUGUAAAUAUGUAUUUUUUGUUUUAAAUCAAUUUGAAUAAAUAUGCAAUAAACCAAAAGGAAA